rnacentral:misc_RNA from 4 species
AACGCACAUUGCGCCCCUUGGUAUUCCGGGGGGCAUGCCUGUUCGAGCGUCAUUUCAACCCUCAAGCAUAGCUUGGUCUUGGGCCCUGCCGGCAACGGCUGGCCUUAAAGCUAGUGGCGGUGCCAUCGAGCUCUACGCGUAGUAGUUAAACCCUCGCGUGUGAGUCCCGGUGGACGCUGGCCAGCAACCCCCUAUUUUUCUAUGGUUGACCUCGGAUCAGGUAGGGAUACCCGCUGAACUUAA